GGGCAAAUCCCCUCUUCCCUCUGGCAUCAGGACUUCUGGGGCUUGAAGACCGUGGGUCUGCGGGAAGCCCCUGCUGAGCGUCCCUCGCCUACCCCGUGGCCAGUGGGACAAACUUAGCCUUCCGUUCUGUUGGUCUGUGAUGACCGUUUCCACGUCCUGCUUUCUGAGAGCACUUGCCUGGUGUAGACGUCCCCGUUUUCAGUGGUUAUGCGUCCCUCUAGUUUCGGUGAUGCCCUGAGGUUUACUUCCUGCAUUUUUAAGCCCACGUUUCCCCAGCAUUCAUGUGUGGCCAGCGUCUGAUUCUUCCUCCAGAGCAAGACAGGGAGGCCACUGCACUUCAGCUGCCUUCACAAGUCUCCUCUGCCACCCCCACUGAGGCCGUCUGGGAGUUUAAUUCUAGGCUAUUAUUAAAUUUCUAUAAAAUUGUUUCAACUUUACUGAGAUAUAAUUCACAAAUAGGAAUUGUGUACAGUUAAGGUGUAGGACUUGAUGUACACGCUGUGAAUGAUCGCUGCAGUCAAGCUAUUUCGCAUGUUCACACCUCACGGUGACUACCAAGUUGGUGCAAAGAGUAACUGCGGUUUUUGCAAUUAGAAGCAAUUAUUUUUGCACCAACCUAAAAUAUUUUCUUUUUUUUCUCUUUUUUUUUUUUUUUUGUCGCCCAGCCUGGACUGCCGUGGUGAAAUCUUGGCUCACUGAAGCCUCUGCUUCCCAGGUUCAAUCAAUCUUGCCACCUCAGCCUCCCCAGUAGCUGGGACUAUGGGCACGUGCCACCAUGUCCAGCUAGUUUUUGUUUUUUGGGGGGUUUUUUUUGUAUUUUUAGUAGAGAUGGGGUUUCGCCAUGUUGCCCAGACUGGUCUUGAACUCCUGGCCUCAAGUGAUCCACCCCCCGCCUCGGCCUCCCAAAGUGUUGGGAUUACAGGCAUGAGCCACCGCACCAGCUUCUUUCAUUUUCUUUGUGUGUGUUAAGAACACUUAAGAUCUAUCCUCUCAGCCCAUGUCCAGCAUCCAGUACAGCAUUGUUAACCGUGGCCACCGAGGACAGCCCUCCCCAGAAAGUGAAUUUGCCAGCACCUUGAUCGUGGACUUCCAGCCUCCAGAACAGCGAGAAGAAUCGCUUCUAGGUUUCGACCAGCCAGCCUGUGGCAUUUUGCUGCAACAGCCUGGGCAGCCUGCAGUGCUCUGUGCUUUGUUCUCUUUCAUUUUGUUUUGUUUUCUGUAAUUCACCUUUGAGAAACUCGUUCAGGAAGGAUGCGUGGGUGACAUUUUCUGCAUCCUCACAUUUUGUCACUGGGUGUGGCCGGGUCUGUGAGUCUAGACACAAAGCCAGUCACCUGGGGACGCUGCCACCUGAAGGCCUGCGUGGCCGGGUCUGUGACUCUAGACACAAAGCCAGUCACCUGGGGACUCUGGGACACCCUCUUCUCUCACCCCAUUGCUGUGGGGAAGCCUGGGGAUGGGUUUUGUUGUUUUUUGUUUUUUGUUUUUUUUUUUUUUGAGAUGGAGUUUCCCUCUUGUCUCCCAGGCUAGAGUGCAAUGGCGUGAUCUCGGCUCACUGCAACUUCCGCCUCCUGGGUUCAAGCGAUUCUCCUGCCUCAGCCUCCUGAGUAGCUGGGAUUACAGGCAUGCACCACCACGCCUGGCUAAUUUUUGUAUUUUUAGUAGAGACGGGGUUUCACCAUGUUGGUCAGGCUGGUCCCGAACUCCUGACUUCAGGUGAUCCACGCACCUCAGCCUCCCAAAGUGCUGAGAUUACAAGCAUGAGCCACCGCGCCCAGCCCAUAGUGGUUUUUAAAUCUUUCCUUUUGCCCUCAUUGUUCUAAAAUUUUAUGAAGAUGAAGACAUAUCUCGUGUCUUAUUCACGGAGAGCCUAUUCUGUAACAGCCGCUGCUCUGGGCGCCAGGAGAAACCGUGAGGAGCAGCAGAGCUUCCGUCGCGGGGCCCACAGGGCCCAGGUGUGCAUUAUUUCCCUCCCAUCGAUCCUGUUCUUCUGAAACUGUCAGUGUGCAGAUGUUGGAAUGUCUGGCUUCAUCUUCCAUUUCCUUUUUUUUUUUUUUUUCAUACUUUCCCUCGAUCUCGCUCUGCUGUGCACAAAAAAACUUGGGCAUUUUCAAGUACAAAGCAAAGGAAGCAAUAAAGCAUCCCCAGAUAUUUGAGGAAAGCUGACAUCACAAAGUGGAGAAUUCCUUGACUGUGUGUUCCAGGCACAAGUUCAUUCUUCAGCCUUUUCUUCCUGUUAUUCACCCCAUCACUUUUUAAUUUUUUUUGGAUGUCACAUUUUUCAUAUUUAUAUUUUCAGUUCCGUUUUUAAGGCUGUAUCUUCUCUAUGGAUAAAUAAACCUGUGAAGACGUAC